AAGUCGUAACAAGGUUUCCGUAGGUGAACCUGCGGAAGGAUCAUUAACACGUAUCCAACGUUAAACCCCCCUGUGAACCUUAAGCGUGCUCUUGCAGCCUCUAUAGGAACAGCAAUCCUGGUAAAUCAGUCCGAGAAAAGUUUUUGAUUCAGGACCUCUGUCUAAAAGGAUGCAAUCGAGCGCUGGAGCAAGUGGCUUGGUUUCCCCAAGCAGUUAGUAUUCUGAAAGUGUCGCUGGAAGUGUAAGGAGAACGCUUUACGAUCACUAGAGCCGACACGGCCGGUGGCCGAGUCACAGGGUCACCAUGCCCCUUACCUCACCCCGAUCCGGCUCGCGAUAAUCCGCAGGCUAAAAAUACUUGAACAACUGUUAACAAUGGAUAUCUUGGUUCCUC
rnacentral:misc_RNA from 1 species